rnacentral:rRNA from 1 species
GUAAGGAAUAUUGGUCAAUGGACGAAAGUCUGAACCAGCCAUGCCGCGUGAAGGAUGAAGGUCCUCUGGAUUGUAAACUUCUUUUAUCUGGGACGAAAAAAGGGAAUUCUUUCUCACUUGACGGUACCAGAGGAAUAAGCACCGGCUAACUCCGUGCCAGCAGCCGCGGUAAUACGGAGGGUGCAAGCGUUAUCCGGAUUUACUGGGUUUAAAGGGUGCGUAGGUGGGCAGGUAAGUCAGUGGUGAAAUCUCCGGGCUUAACUCGGAAACUGCCAUUGAUACUAUCUGUCUUGAAUAUCCUGGAGGUGAGCGGAAUAUGUCAUGUAGCGGUGAAAUGCUUAGAUAUGACAUAGAACACCAAUUGCGAAGGCAGCUCACUACGGGAUUAUUGACACUGAGGCACGAAAGCGUGGGGAUCAAACAGGAUUAGAUACCCCUGUAGUCC